rnacentral:lncRNA from 1 species
ACAGGGGGUCUUCUCUCUUGGCUUUGGAGCUCCCCAUUCCUCUGUGUCUGUAACAGGGGAGCUUCUUCCUUCUUUCUUCUCCCUUCUUUCUUGCCUGUUAAACUCUCUGCUUCUUAAAACCACUCCAUGUAUGUCCAGGUCAUUUUAUCUAAUUUGGAGACGGAGAACCCUGGUGUUCCUCUGCUCAUCAGAGCCGUCUCACCUGCAAGGGCCAGGAUCCAGCACUAGGGCUGCCCUUUAUGUUCAUGCAGCCUCCACUAGGAAGAUCCUCCUUAGCUGCCACCUGCUGUAAAGGGAUCUAUCUAUCUAUCUGUCUAUCUAUCUAUCUAUCUAUCUUUCUAUCUACCUGUCGAGAGAGAGAGAGGUUUAUUAUAAGGAAUUGACUCAUGUGAUUAUGGAGGCUGAGAAGUUCCACAGUCUGCUGUCUGCAAGCUGGAGACCCAGGAAGGCUGCUGGUGCCGUUCCAGUUUGAUUCUGAAGGCCUGAGAACCAGAACUGAUGCCCACUCAACAUGAAGAUGACAAGGAUGAAGACCUUUAUGAUGAUCCAUUCCCACUUACUGAAUAAUAUCAAGCAUUUUAUUCAACUAUGGAAUGGAAGCAACAGAUUACAGCAGCAUUAACAAGACCUGGGAUACCAUCACCAAUCAAAAUCAUGGAUAUUUCAUAGCACAAGAACGUUGUUUCAGAAUCUCAAAGUACUCCUCCUACUCAACAUGACUUUGAAAUUGCAAUAGUUGUUAGAACGGUCACUGCAGUUUGAUAUAUGAUGUGUUUACAAAGAGGCACAUAUAUUGCUCUUUCAGAAUUAUAACUCUGUAUGCAUUUCAAUGUAAUUGGUUUCCUUUGUCAUCUUCUGAAUUUUAUGUAUUUAAAAAUAUUAUUCUGAUGUUAAUACACAACAAAGAAAGGAUAGAAUUUUCAAUAAAUGGUGUUGGGGAAAUUGGAUAUCCAUAUACAAAAAAUAAAAAUAAAAUUGGAUUCUUAUCUUAAACCCUACACAAAAAUUAACUCAAAAUGGAUUAAAGACAUAGACAUAAGACCUGAAACUUUAAAAUUACUAGAAGAAAACAUAGGGGAUGACACUGGUCUGGGCAAUAACUUUUUGGAUAUGACACUAAAAGUACAAGCAACAAAAGCAAAAAUAGACAAACACAAUUACAUCAAGCUAAAAAAGCUUUCACACAGUAAAGCAAGCAAUCAACAGAGUAAAGAGACUCUGUUGCAACCUACAGAUGCAACUUACAGAAUGCAAGAAUGUAUCUGUCAACCAUACAGCUGAGAAGGAUUUAAUAUCCAAAAUAUACAAGGAACUCAGCUCAAUAGCAAAAACAAAAAACAACAACAAACCAAAACCAACUCACAUAUAACUCAGCUAACAAUGGGCAAAAGAUCUGAAUAAAUAUUUCUCAAAGGAAGAUAUACGAAUUACCAAUGGGAAUAUGAAAAGAUGCUCUACACCACUAAUCAUCAGGAAAAUGCAAAUUAAAACCACAAUGAGAUACCACCUCACACCUGCUAGAAUAUCUAUUAUCAAAAAGAUAAGUGAUAACAAACGUUGGUAAGGCCAUGUAGAAAAUGGAACCCUUGUACACUGUUGAUGGGAAUAUAGAUUGCUACAAUCAUUAUGAAAAACAGUAUGGAAAUUCCUCAAGAUACUAAAUAUAGAACUACCAUAUGAUCCAGCAAUCCCACUUCUGGGCAUAUAUUUAAAGGAAAUGAAAUCAGUAUCUUGAAGAGGUAUCUGGACUCAUAUGUUUAUUGCAGCAUUAUUCACAAUAGCCAAGAUACGGAAUCAACCUUAGUGCUUAGUGUCCAUUGAUGGAUGAAUGGAUGAAGAAAAUGUGAUACACACACACACACAAACACACACACACAUGCACGCACACACAGGGAUAUUAUUCAGUCUUUAACAAGAAGAAGAUUCUGCCAUUUGCAACAACAUGGGUGGACCUGGAGGACAUUAUGCUAAGUGAAAGCAAGCCAGACACAGAAAAACAAACACUGCACAGCAUGAUCUCACUCAUAUGUGGAAUCUAAGAAGGUUGGACUCAGAAACAGAGCAGAAGGCUGGUUACCAGAGGUGGCAGUAGGGAUGACAGUGGGAAAUUAGGAGAGGUUGGUUAAAGGAUACAGACUUUUAGGUAUAAAAUGAAUAAGGUCCUCAGAGCUAACGUACGGCACAGUGACUGUGUUAAUAAUAAUGUAUUUUAGAUUUGAAAAUUGCUAAGAGAGUAGAUCUUCAGUACUCUCACCACAAAAAAAGGUUGAACUAUGUGAAGUGAUAGAUAACAUUAAUUAGCUUGAUUGUGGUCAUCAUUUCACAAUGGAUAUAUGCAUCAGAGCUUCAUGUUGUACAUCUAUAUUCCAUUUUUAUUUUUUCAAUUAUAACUCAGUAAACCUAGAAAAAAAUAAUAAUAUCACUCUGAAAAGUGGUCUGCAGGUUUCACUAGCUUCUGAAGGGGGCUGUGGCACUUCCUAGAUGCUGGGCACUAUUCUAUGGUUUUCCAUAUAUUAUUAAGUGAAUCCUCACAGUCACAUUAUGAGGUAUGUAUUAAUAAUUAAGAUAAAAAAACUGAGGGUCACAGAGUAGAUAAAUUCCCCAAGGAUAAAGCCAGUAAGUGGCAUAGUUGGCACUGAAAUCUAGAAAUCCAAGCCCCUAAGCUUUUUGCACCUCUCCUUGGUGAGGUAACAACCUUGUCAUGGUCCAGUGAAGAGGCAGCGCCCAGCCCUGUCCCAAGCCCAGUGCUUCCUUCCCCCCAGUGCUUCCUUCCCCAAGUAAUGUUCACAAAGAGUCCCAAAGUGAGCAGAUGUCCCAGGGCCAACUGAGGGGCCCCAAGUCACACUCAAGAGGGAACUGCUAUUGCAAGAACAAAGGAAAUCUGCGCAGGGUUUGCUUCCCCCAAACGCUCCUGGUAAAGUUUCCCAAACUUUUACUUUCUGUGAUCACUUAAUGAACAUUUAACUUACCCAGAGACAAAUCUCAGGUUUUUUUAAAGGUGUCAUCAGAAAUUUCCCAACAACAAAGAGAAAAUGCAGUGUUCUAGGUUAGUAAUAAUAAAAUCUGUUUCUUACAGUGAGAGAGGUGAUAUUUUCUCUUUCCCUAAAACCUCUCCAUCCCUGUUGAUGAUAGAGAACUCAAUCCAACAAGAAGUUUUCUUUCUUCAUUUUUCUUUUUUUUUCAAAUUGAAAAGUAAAAAUUGUAAAUAUUUAUGGUGUACAACAUGAUGUUUUGAUAUUUGUGUACAUUUUGGAAUGGCUAAAUCAAGCUUUUUAACAUAUGCAUUACCUCAUAUACUUAUUUUUGGAGUGAGAACACUUAAAACUGCCUUUCUAGAAAUUUUCCAAUGUAUAGUAUAUUAUUAUUAACUGUGGUCUCAUUAUGUAUAAUAGAUCUCUUGAACUUAUUCCUCCUGUUUAACUGGAAUUUUGUGUCCAUUGACCACCAUCUCCUCAAUCCUCCAACCUCUACCCUCUGGUAGCCACCAUUCUAUGACUUGUUUCUCUGAGCCCUACUUUUUUAGAUUCCACAUAUAAGUGAGAUUAUGCAGUAUUUAUCCUUCUGUGUCUGGCUUAUUUCACUUAGCCUAAUGCCCUCCAGCUUCAGCCAUGUUGUCACAAAUGACAGAAUUUACUUCUUUUAAAGAGCCCUCACACUCUUGCUCUCUCAAGCUACCUUGUCCUUCUGCCUUCUGCCAUGGGAUGCGUAGCAAAAAGGCCCUCACCAGAUGCAGCCCCGUCACCUUGGACUUCCCAGCCUCCAGAACCAUACGAAAUAAAUUUUUCUAAAUAAAUUAGCAUGAGGGCUAAUUUAAAGGUUGAAUAGUAUUUUCUUUAUCCAUUCAUGCAUUAAUGGAUACUUAAGUUGAUUCCAUAUCUUGGCUGUUGUGAAUAAUGCUGCAAUGAACAUGAAAGUAUAGAUAUCUCUUCAAGCUACCGGUUUUAUUUCCUUUAAAUAUAUGCCCAGAAAUUAAAUUGCUGGAUCAUAUGGUAGUUCUAUUUUUAAUUCCUUAAGAAAUCUCCAUACUGUUUUCCAUAAUGGCUGUAUUAAUCUACAUCCCCACCAACAGUGUACAAGGGUUCCAUUUUCUACACAGCCUUGCCAACAUCUGUUAUCUUUCAUCUUUUUGAUACUAGUCAUUUUAACAGAUGUGAAGUGAUAUUAAUAUCUUAUUGUGAUAUUAAUUGCAUUUCUCUGAUUAGUGAUGUUGAAUAUCUUUUCAUAUACCCAUUGGCCACUCAUAUGUCUUUUUUGAGAAAUAUUUAUUCAGAUUCUUUGCCCAUUUUAACUGAUUUAUAUUUGUUUUUGCUUGUUUUUGUUUUUGCUAUUGAGUUGUUUGAGUUUCCUGCAUAUUUUUGAUAUUAACUUCUUAUCAGAUGUGUGAUUUGUAAAUAUAUUCUCCCAUACUAUAUGUUGUUUCUUCACUCUAUGGUCAUUUCCUUUGCCGCGUGGGAGCUUUUUUGGUUUGAUUGAAUUCUAUUUGUGCGAAUUUAUUUAUUUAUUUAUUUAUUUAUUUAUUUAUUUAUUUAUUUAUUUAUUUAUUUUGAGAUGGUGUCUUGCUCUGUCACCCAGGCUGGAGUGCAGUGGCGCGAUCUUGGCUCACUGCAAACUCCCACUUCCGGGUUCAAGGAUUCUCCUGCUUCAGCCUCCUGAGUAGCUGGGAUUACAGGUGCCCACCAGCAUGCCCAGCUAAUUUUUGUAUUUUUAGUAGAGAUGGAGUUUCACCAUGUAGGUCAGGCUGGUCUUGAGCUCCUGACCUCGUGAUCCUCCCGCCUCGGCCUCCCAAAGUGCUGGGAUUACAGGCGUGAGCCACCGUGCCCGGCUGCAUUUUUACUUUUGUUGCUUGUGCUUUUAGGGUCAUAUCCACAAAUUCAUUGCCAAGACCAAUGUCCUAGAGCUUUUUCUCCAUGUUUUCUUCCAGUAUUUAUAAGGUUCUAGGUCUUAUAUUUAAGUCGCUUAUCUACUUUGAGUGGAUUUUUGUGUGUGGUGUGAGACGAGGGUCUAAUUUUAUUUAUUUGCAUCUGGAUAUCCAAUGUUCUCAGCACCAUUUACUGAAGAACUGUCCUUUCCCUAUUGUAUGUUCUUGGAAUCUUUGUCAAAGCUCAAUUGACCAUAAAUUCAUGAAUUAAUUUCUGGGCUGUUUAUUCAGCUCCACUUGUCUGUGUCUGUUUUGUGGCAGUUUUAUGCUGUUUAGAUUACUAUAGCUUUGUAAUAGAUUUUAAAAUCAGGUAGUGUGAUGCCUCUAGCUUUGUUCUUUUUGCUCAAGAUUUAUUUGGCCAUUCAUGGGUCUUUUGUGGUUCCAUCCAAAUUUAUGGAUUGUUUUUUCCAUUUCUGCUAAAAAAAGUCAUUGGAAUUUUGAUAGGAUUGUAUUUGACUCUUGGAUCACUUUGGACAGUAUGGACAUUUUAACAAUAUUAAAUCUUCCAAUUCUUUUUUUUUUUUUUUGAGUCGGAGUCUCACUCUGUCGCCAAGGUUGGAGUGUAGUGGCAUGAUCUUGGCUCACUGCAACCUCCUCCUCCUGGGUUCAAGCAAAUUCUCUGCCUCAGCCUCCUGAGUACCUGGGAUUACAGGCGCCUGCCACCACAGCAGGCUAAUUUUUUGUAUUUUUAGUAAAGACUGGGUUUCACCACGUUGGCCAGGCUGGUCUUGAACUCCUGACCUCGUGUAACACCUGCCUUGGCUUCCCAAAGUGCUGGGAUUAUAGGCCUGAGCCGUCAUGCCUGGCCUUAAAUCUUCCAAUUCUUAAACACAGAAUAUCUUUCUAUUUAUUUGUGUCUUUUUUUAACUUCUUUCAUUCAUGUUUUAUAGUUUUCAGUCUACAGAUCUUUCAUUAACUUGGUUAAAUUUACAUCUAAGUAAUUUUGGGGGGAGGCGCCACUGUAAAUGGGAUUGUUUUCUUGAUUUCUUUUUCAGAUAGUUAAUUGUUCUUAUAUAGAAAUGCUACUGAUUUUUGCAUAUUGAUUUUGUAUCCUGUAACAUUAUUAAAUGUAUUAGUUCUAACAGUUCUUUGGUAGAGUCUUUAGGAUAUUUUAUAUAUGAGAUCAUGUUGUCUGCAAAUAGAGACAAUGUAACUUUUUCCUUUCCAAUUCAAAUGACUUUUAUUUAUUUCUCUUCUAGUUGCUCUGGCUAGAACAUCCAGAACUAUGUUUAAUAGAAGUGGUAAGAGUAGGCAUCCUUGUCUUUUUCUGAUCUUAGAGGAAAAGAUCCCAACUUUUCACUGUAGAGUGUGACGUUAGUUAUGAGCUUUUUAUAUGUAGCCUUUAUUGUAUUGAGGUACACUCCUUCUAUCUCUCACCUAUUGGGACUUUUUACCAUGAAAAAUGUGGAAAUUUGUCCGGUGACUUUUCUUUAUCUCUUGAGAUGAUCACAUGGUUUUUGUCUGUCUUUCUUUUAAUGUGGUGUAUCACAUUUAUUGAUUUAAUUAUGUGAAACCAUCUUUGUAUCCUAGGAAUAAAUCCCUCAUUAGUCUUUCAAAUGGAAAAUCUUAGCUCACAGUUAAAGGUCAGAAGGACUGUCA